GCUGCUAUGGCACAGGUGGUAGCGCACCACAUUGGUAAUGUGGAGGUCACCGGUUCGAGUCCGGUUAGCAGCU
rnacentral:tRNA from 1 species